CCAUAGGAUGCAAGAGACAUGCAGGAUUGAAGCUGUUAGGAAAAGUUUGGUGGCAAAUAACGCUUCCUGCGGGAGGAGCGCUCUGGAGAUGCAGGAAUCUUGAAAGAAUUGUGGAACAAAAAGCCAUGUCAAUGGAUUGCAAAGCAGCGAUCCGCUUGGAUUUCUUAGACGGUGUCGAAACCAGCCAGCAGGCGUCAUUCUUCCUCUAGCAGCAGCAAGGAUUGGAAGUAGACCACAUAUUUUCCCCUUCGGUUGGUUGUUAGCUCGAUCAUCAAGUGGGGGUGGAGACGGAGGCGAGAAUCGGCAGGUCUGAGCCCAAGAAAGAUCAGAACUCCUCCUGUCGCUGAAGUCCAGGAUUUCGAUCGAGGUGGCCAUGGAAUAACUAACGGGCCGAACAGAUUCCUGGAUGGAACGAACAACCGAGGAAUACGGAGGAUGACAUUAUGAAGACUUUUUUUUCUACUACAUGCCUUCAUGCUGACCUGGGCAUCCAUUCCCUAUGUACGAAGGAACCUGGAGUGACGAUAUAUCCAUUGAGGUGGGGUGGUUGAUUAUACAAAAGAAAAGGAGAUUGCAAUUGGAACCCAGAUCAACACUGAUGAGUGACCAAGAUUGAGUGCGUAUCUCGUUGUCAUGAGCAGUUGAGAUGCGAUACGCAGUAGUGCAUAACUGCCAAAAGCGAUGUAAAGGGACAAAUAGAUAGCCUUGAGUAACGAGUAGGCAGCCCAAUGAUUACACUCAUAGCAUUAUCAAUACUUGCAAGAAAAGGAAAC
rnacentral:sRNA from 1 species